UCAUAGGAGUUUUGGAUUCUGCUCAGGAUGAACGCUGGCGGUAUGCUUAACACAUGCAAGUCGAACGGUCUCUUCGGAGAUAGUGGCGGACGGGUGAGUAACGCGUGAGAAUCUGGCUUCAGGUCGGGGACAACCACGGGAAACUGUGGCUAAUACCGGAUAUGCCGAGAGGUGAAAGGCUUGCUGCCUGAAGAUGAGCUCGCGUCUGAUUAGCUAGUAGGUGUGGUAAAAGCGCACCUAGGCGACGAUCAGUAGCUGGUCUGAGAGGAUGAUCAGCCACACUGGGACUGAGACACGGCCCAGACUCCUACGGGAGGCAGCAGUGGGGAAUUUUCCGCAAUGGGCGAAAGCCUGACGGAGCAAUACCGCGUGAGGGAGGAAGGCUCUUGGGUUGUAAACCUCUUUUCUCAGGGAAGAAAAAAAUGACGGUACCUGAGGAAUAAGCAUCGGCUAACUCCGUGCCAGCAGCCGCGGUAAUACGGAGGAUGCAAGCGUUAUCCGGAAUGAUUGGGCGUAAAGGGUCCGCAGGUGGCUAUGUAAGUCUGCUGUUAAAGAAUCUAGCUCAACUAGAUAAAAGCAGUGGAAACUACAAGGCUAGAGUGCGUUCGGGGUAGAGGGAAUUCCUGGUGUAGCGGUGAAAUGCGUAGAUAUCAGGAAGAACACCAGUGGCGAAGGCGCUCUACUAGGCCGCAACUGACACUGAGGGACGAAAGCUAGGGGAGCGAAUGGGAUUAGAUACCCCAGUAGUCCUAGCCGUAAACGAUGGAUACUAGGCGUGGCUCGUAUCGACCCGAGCGCGGGGCCGAAAGGCAAAAA
rnacentral:rRNA from 1 species